rnacentral:rRNA from 1 species
CGUAGGGGGCAAGCGUUGUCCGGAUUUAUUGGGCGUAAAGAGCGUGUAGGCGGCCACACAGGUCCGUUGUGAAAACUCGAGGCUCAACCUCGAGACGCCGAUGGAAACCGUGUGGCUAGAGUCCGGAAGAGGAGUGUGGAGUUCCCGGUGUAGCGGUGAAAUGCGCAGAUAUCGGGAAGAACACCUAUGGCGAAGGCAGCACUCUGGGACGGUACUGACGCUGAGACGCGAAAGCGUGGGGAGCGAACAGGAUUAGAUACCCUGGUAGUCCACGCCGUAAACGAUGGAUGCUAGGUGUGGGUGGUGUCGACUCCAUCCGUGCCGAAGCUAACGCAUUAAGCAUCCCGCCUGGGGAGUACGGCCGCAAGGCUA